AUGGGGCAAUUAGCUAGUUAUAAUAACAACCUUGGUUCUGAUUAUGUUUUUUACGAGAGAGUUGGGUUAGCACCGAUUGAAGAGAAGCUUGUCCAACAUCGUCAGAGAUGGUUUGGGCAUAUUCAGCGCAGGCCUCCAGAAGCUCCAGUGCAUAGCGGACGGCUAAAGCGUUCUGAUAAUGUCAAGAGAGGUCAAGGUAGACCGAAUUUGACAUGGGAGGAUUCCAUAAAGAGAGAUCUGAAGGAUUGGAGUAUCACCAAAGAACUAGCCAUGGACAGGGGUGUGUGGAAGCUUGCUAUCCAUGUGCCAGAACCAUGA
rnacentral:rRNA from 1 species